UGAGUGCAUGUGAUCCUGCUCUUUUGGUGU
rnacentral:piRNA from 1 species